rnacentral:rRNA from 1 species
CUGGCUCAGGACGAACGCUGGCGGCGUGCUUAACACAUGCAAGUCGAGCGGUAAGGCCCUUCGGGGUACACGAGCGGCGAACGGGUGAGUAACACGUGGGUGAUYUGCCCUGCACUCUGGGAUAAGCCUGGGAAACUGGGUCUAAUACCGGAUAUGACCUGCUCUCGCAUGGGGGUGGGUGGAAAGAUUUAUCGGUGCAGGAUGGGCCCGCGGCCUAUCAGCUUGUUGGUGGGGUAAUGGCCUACCAAGGCGACGACGGGUAGCCGACCUGAGAGGGUGACCGGCCACACUGGGACUGAGACACGGCCCAGACUCCUACGGGAGGCAGCAGUGGGGAAUAUUGCACAAUGGGCGAAAGCCUGAUGCAGCGACGCCGCGUGAGGGAUGAAGGCCUUCGGGUUGUAAACCUCUUUCAGCAGGGACGAAGCGCAAGUGACGGUAC